rnacentral:tRNA from 1 species
UCCCUGGCAGGCCAGUGGUUAGGUCUCAGUGCUUUCACUACUGUGGCCUGGGUUCAAACCCUGGUGAGGGAA